UACGUAGGGGGCAAGCGUUGUCCGGAAUUAUUGGGCGUAAAGAGCGUGUAGGCGGUCCGGUAAGUCAGCUGUGAAAGUCAAGGGCUCAACCCUUGAAAGCCGGUUGAUACUGUCGGGCUAGAGUCCGGAAGAGGCGAGUGGAAUUCCCGGUGUAGCGGUGAAAUGCGCAGAUAUCGGGAGGAACACCAGUAGCGAAGGCGGCUCGCUGGGCCAUUCCUGACGCUGAGACGCGAAAGCUAGGGGAGCGAACAGG
rnacentral:rRNA from 1 species